GUGCUCGCUUCCGCAGCACAAAUACUAAAAUUGGAACGAUACAGAGAAGAUUACCAUGGCCCCUGCGCAAGGAUGACAUGCAAAUUUGUAAAGCGUUCCAUAUUAAA